rnacentral:rRNA from 1 species
UUUACCUACGGGAGGCAGCAGUGGGGAAUAUUGGGCAAUGGGCGCAAGCCUGACCCAGCAACGCCGCGUGAAGGAAGAAGGCUUUCGGGUUGUAAACUUCUUUUCUCAGGGACGAAGCAAGUGGCGGUACCUGAGGAAUAAGCCACGGCUAACUACGUGCCAGCAGCCGCGGUAAUACGUAGGUGGCAAGCGUUAUCCGGAUUUACUGGGUGUAAAGGGCGGGUAGGCGGGGAAGCAAGUCAGAUGUGAAAACCAUGGGCUCAAACUGGGGCCUGCAUUUGAAACUGUUUUUCUUGGGUAAUGGG